GGGAGCUUUUCCUGAGGCUCCAGGAGAAAAAGAGAAUCCACCUCCUGUGGAAGAAGGGACAGAUCCAGUUGCAUCUCAGACUCCCAGUUUCUCGGUAGUAAAUAUCAGGUUGGAACAAGACAUGAAAUCAACUGAGCCCAGCCUAAGGCCCGGAACAGAGAUUACAUUAGAGGCAUUAAACUGUGACCUACUUGCAAGAUCCUGGACAUGCUAUAAGGACCAAGAUUUUCAAGCUUCAGCCAAAGGCAUCAGAUAAUGAAAGUAUGGAUGAAAAUGGCCCCUGCAUUGCUCAGAAUCUUCCUCUAAAAUUAAAGACUUUUGUUCUGAGUCAUAGCCCACCUUGUCAGCUGCAUUGACCACAAGGUGAUGAGAUUUAAGCAGAGUCAGACUUCGCAUUUUGCUGACAUGCACAGGCAUUGAACAGUCUCAGAGCUACUACUCUACAUCACCUAGUUUUCAUUUGUUGGUUACAUCCCAUUAACACAUUUUUAUAUCUUUUUUCAUAACCAUAACACUCAGUAAGUAAGUAGUUUGCCUUCUUACUUUUAACACAAAAUGAUCUCAAAGAAGGUAGUAGAUUAAAGCAGUGCUACAAUGAAUCAUGGAUUUAUAUAUGAGUUCCUGAACCUUUAGUUAUUUAAGCCUGUAAAUGACUACAAAUGGAAGAGUCAUUGCAUUCUCCCCAGAUUAAUUGAGGUGAAUACAAAAAAAAAAACUAUUUCUCUUUGAAAUGGCAUAACUGGCAAUAGUCAGUAUGCCCUUUGUUUAAAAAAGUGGCAGAAUUGUCAAAGAAAUUACUUAAAACAUGGAGUUUCUCUUGUUCUUAUGUUGUUUUAUCAUUCUCUGUAAACACAGACUUAGUGUAUGUACUAAGAACUGACAUCAAAGACUGGUGGAGCAAAUGAGAUUUUUUCCAUUAAUGUAAACACUGUUUAGAUUAGAUAUUCUGCAGAGAGAACUGAAGUUUCCAGUUAAUCUUUCAAAUACCUAUGUCAUUUGUUGAACAGUGUAAUGCUAUCUAACAUGGUACUUCUGUUCUAAGUGUAAAGGGAACAUUUGCAAAACAUGUCACCCAUUACUGAUUGCAAGCUCUAUUUACUGUUUAAUCAGCUAAUAUUUAUGUUAGUUGUCUUACUUCUGUUCUGUAUAACUGCUGACAUACUGCAUAAAUAAGGAUAAAAUUUAGGGAGAUCAUCUUAUACUGUUCUAAACUGGGACAAUGUCCCAGUAUUCCCCAGAUGAGAUGAAGUUCAUAUUCUUCUGCUGUUAACCACACACUAAAGGAUUAUUAGAAAAUCUAGUCAUUAAGGAUUUUGUGCAAUUGCCAGAGAAAUAAGAGUGUGCUGUCCUUCAUGUUGCUGUUUUUUCAACCUUAGUGCUAUCACCAAAUCUGGGAAAUAAAUUUUUCUAGUUUUCUGUGGUUUAAAGGUUACUUCUAAGAUUAAUUCAGAAUAGAGAAAAGGUAAUCAAAGUCAAAGAAGUCAUGUGAUUUUAUAGUGAACCUGCAGCUGAGAGCUUGUGCUACAUUAAGAGCAGGUGUAUGUUGGAUGGUAGUGGGAAAUAAAGCUUCUUACUCUUGCAGGCACUUUUGCCUGCUGUUAUUCCCUACAUGCAGCUUGCAAAACAGAAUACUUCAAGAAAAUAGAGUGAAUCUUAGAAUAUAUAUGCCUCCAUCAUUAGAUUUGUGAAGAGAAUUCAGCACAGUUUUUAGUCCCGAAGAGGUGCCUGCAGGGGCGUAGAGAAGAUUGAAUAUCAACUGAGAAAAGUUACUUUAUUAGCAGUUCUUCAGUAAAACAGAAAAGUAAAAUUAAUGAAUUAAUAGCAAAAGGAUUGACAAUCCCUUAAGGGGUUCAGCAGUUUGUGUGAAUGAGUCAUGUCACUUAGCAGAGGAGUCUAGAUUCACUUCUUCACUUUAUUUUUGCACAAAUAUGGGAUAAAACACAAAAUGGAGAUUAAUCUUCAGAGGUAAAAGAGAAUACCAGAACCCGUGGGACUGCAUAUAUUUUUUCAGAAAGGACAGUUUAGAAAAAAAUUUCCUACCAUCUCGUUGGUCUUUUUCUUGAAUGAUGCUAUUUUAUGGAAAUAUAAAUGAGCAGCAUAGUCUGCAAACUGAGCACCAUAAAUAGUGUGAAGAUUUGGAGUUAGAGAUAACCUUGUUAAAUUGUUCUGUCUUUCCAUUCUCAUUUCAAGUCUCAUUAAAGUAUGUCAU